ensembl:lncRNA
GGAAUUUAAGUCAAUUAUAUGUAGCCUUCCCAUUAUAAAUUGUAGAAUCAUAGAAUGGUUUGGGUUGAAAGGGAUGUUUAAGAUCAUCUGGUUCCAAUCCCCUGCUACAGGCAGGGACACCUCCCUCUACACCAGGUUGCACAAAGCCCCAUCCAGCCUGGCCUUGAAUGCUUACAGGGUGGGAGCAUCCACAGCCUCUCUGGACCACCUGUUCCAGUGUCUCAUCACUCUCACGGUAAAUAAUUCCAUCUUGAUAUCUAGUCUAAAUCUACCCUCUUCCACUUGAAAGCCAUUUCCCCUAAUCCUGUCACUACCUGCCCUUAUAAAAAGUCCCUCUCCUGCUUUCCUGCGGGCCCCCUGUAAUAAAUAAAUCACAUCAGCAAGAGGAUGUAUUUCCAUUGGUGCAGCUCUGCUGUGCUUGAAGUAUGGCAACAAAACAAACCUGUAUAAAUCUGGCAGUAGUUUCUGGGGGCUGUAGUGGCAUAUAUGAAGACUGAUGGUCUCUGAAUUAAUGCAGCCUGUUGACCUACUUCAUGAAGCACCCAAGCAGGAACUGGAGAGGAUAGCUGUGUAAAUAGCAAGGAACUGCCCCUCUGUGUAGCACCAGUUCUGUAACCAGCCCUUCUGCCAUUAGGCUCCCCACAGUUUAGCUGUGCGUGUGCAUGGUAUGAGUGUGUCAUAGGGGUGAGCAUCACAAAAAGUUUUCCAGCAGCAUCAGUGUCCAUGGUGAGAUGAGGAAUACUUAUGCCCAAGUUCUCUCCCUUAUUUGUUCUGCUUUCCUUAUUCCUAUAGAAUGCCAUGUGAGAGUUCCCAGCUACGUGGACUGCUGUUGACACGCCAUGGCAGAACCAUUCCUGAGAGUUAAUACUGAAGACCUGUGCUAUGUUCAUGCUUACUGAUCUUAGUGGCCAAUCAGUGGAAUUAGAUCACCCAUAAGAUCAAGAUGGAAGACAAUGUUGCUGCAGCAGAGGCUUUUGUGCAAGUGGCCUCUGCAAAAGCAAUCUUACACAGAUUCUCACCAAAUCCCGCCUGCAGUAAUGUGUUAUUGCUCCAUGCAACAAUGUGUUGUUGCUCACUCACAGUGUGAAGUACAGGUUUGGUACCUCAGUCUUAUAAAGAAUCUGAAUGCAUCUGCUUGGCAUUGUACCAAAGAUGCAUGAGCGCAUUUGGCAGCAGGUGAUAAGAGGGUUAACUCAUGCUGUGCUGUUCGAAAACACUCUGCCUUUCUUCGCAGUUACCAAAAAAAUGCAUUUUUGUCUGCUGUCUUUUUCUCAGACCAUGAGACCUGUUGCCAAAGGGAGAUCUUCCUCAGGCACUUCCUUGGUCUUCCUUAGGCUUGCUUCAGAUUUUCCUUUAUUUGGCCUGAAAGUUUAUCAUUGCAUGUGGAGCAAGAGUUGGAUAGACAAGAAUAGACAAGAAGCAGAUUUGAUUUAUCUUCUCUCAUCUUUCAUUUCCCUUGAUCACAGGUCAGCAGAAAACUUCUUUCCCUGGAUGCUGCUUAAAGAGAAAAAUCAGUCAUUUUCUGUGAAAUUGACAGUUGAUAUCUAAAUUGCUAUUUCACCCCCUCAUAGAAGGUGCUGCAAAAUGUCCUUCAGCUCUUUCUUGCCCAACCGUGGCCACUAUGCCUGUGGGCUGAUGGCAUGGCUGCUGGGCCUGUGGGCCGAUGGCCGCUGGGCCUACCUGGUGCCAAGUGCACCCAACCCUGUUGUGCAUGCAGUCUGGAAGGAGUUUUGGGCAGGCCUUGUCCUUCUGUGCCAUUGGAAAGCACCUGGUGCAGCAGCUCUUAUAGCAUGAAUGCCUAUGUUUGUCUGCUGGUGGGGUGCACAGUGAAGGCUUAUUUAUUUCACCAGCUCUGAGCCGGUACUUCCAUUGCUGUUUGCUUGCUUCUGAUGGGGAGGCUCAGUGACAGGUUUUCAAGCAUCGUCUGUUUACAGUUCAGUGAAACUGCUCCAGUUGGGAAAGCAGUCUGCUCCCAUCAUUCUUUGAAGGGAGAAAAAAGUCAACCGACUCCUGAAACUUCAGUGGAGACGUGGCAGAAAAGCUCUGGCCCUCUCCCCCACUGCGCAGCCCCCUCUGGCAGAUGUUUUCUAAUGUACUUCGAUGCAAACACAGUGCUUGCUCUUGUCUGAAAUGCAUCUGUAUCAGAAAAGUAAUCAGGCGCUGUCACCUGGCCUCGUUGCAGACAGUGUUCUGACUGGUCACCUUCUCCUAAUCACUUAAUGAGCUUCAUUGUGAAUUAUUAAAAGUAAUUGCUGAUUUGCAAGCAUAGGGAGAUUGCGACAAAACAAUUUCAUAGUUAUCAAACAUCAGUAUUAAAAUAAUUGCUGCUAUAUAAAUGUGUAAGUACCCUGUCUAUUAAGUCACGUUUAGGAAACCUAAUGAAUUAUUAGGGCCCAGCUCUUUGUUUCUGAAGUAUUUUUACAACCA